rnacentral:rRNA from 1 species
AACGAACGCUGGCGGCAUGCCUAACACAUGCAAGUCGAACGAGACCUCCGGGACUAGUGGCGCACGGGGGCGUAACGCGUGGGAACCUGCCCUUAGGUUCGGAAUAACUCCCCGUAGGGGGUGCUAAUACCGGAUAAUGUCUUCGGACAAAAGAUUUAUCGCCUUUGGGUGGGCCCGCGUUGGAUUAGCUGGUUGGUAGGGGAAAAGCCUACCAAGGCGUCGAUCCAUAGCUGGUCUGAGAGGAUGAUCAGCCACACUGGGGCUGAGACACGGCCCAGAAUCCUACGGGAGGCAGGAGAGGGUAAUAUAGGACAAUGGGCUAGAUCCUGAACCAGCAAUGCCGGGUGAGUGAUGAUGUCCGUAGGGAUGUAAAGCUGUUUUACCCGGGAUGAUAAUGACGGUACCGGGAGAAUAAGCACCGGCUAACUCCGUG